CUGCGAUGCGGGCCGGCAGCACCACGCCGAAGCGGAACAGCAUGGCGAGCUGUACCGGGCCGAAGGCGGCAGGGCACCGUUCGAGCUAAGAAGCUGCAGGAUCCAGUAGCGCAUCUGAUAAUUUAACUCCUGGCUGUUGUCUAAACCUUAAUGUAAAAAGACCUGCAACACAUAUGUACCUUUAAAAAAAAGCUUCUUUAUGUGUCAAACCCUCAUUAUAGACCUGCAAUAAAAACUAUAUUUUCAGUCUUGUGCAAAAUAUUAGCGGUUAAAUUAAUUGUCCAUUUCUUCUCCAUAUUUCACCAUGAUCCGUUUUGUACACACCAGCAUUGGGUGCUGGAUUAAGGUUAAAAAUAGCACGGAGUGACAUGCUCGAGUUCCUGCAGUUUUUAUUGUUGAAUAGUUUUUAUUGAUGAAUACUACCAAACUGUGAAGUGUAGACAGGAUGAUAUGGGUCUUCAUUAGAUCUAAGACCACGCAAACAAGACUAUGUAAGUACCAUAAGGUUUGGCUCCAAGCUCAGAAGUAAAUGGUUCGCUGCGAGCUUUACGUAGUCUAUGGAUUUCUCAUCUCUAAACUGGUGUUUUAUAUAAGAACCAAAGGAUGAAGGGGCAAUAGGGAGCUUACACGUGCUGCUGUGUAGUUGAAUAUUGCAGGAAUUGAAGAAAUACUUUCACUUCUGGGCCAUUGCUUUAAGCCUAAAUUCCUAAGGAAUUAAUGAUAAACCAAUUUCCUUUGAAAAAAGCCUUAUCCUCAUACCGCAUGACCAGCACUCUGUCCCUGCACUCCUCAACACUGUUCUUAAACCUAAAAGCCUUUUCUGUAAGCCAGUCAUCUUUAACAGCCACAAAUGUAAACAGGACGAUUUCCUGGUUUUGCUAUAUUAAGUCCCAUUCCAAUAAGCAUGCCUUUCAGGUCCAAUCAAAAAGCUCUGGCAUAAAGAUGCCCAAACCCUACUAAUUAAAUUGCUUUUAGCUGUCCCAGAAGCUGUUGUUUUCAUUCAUAUGGGAAUAAACUACCAUCUGAGCGCACCAUGGCCCAUCUGAUUCUGGUAAUUGAUAUUGUGCCUUUGUGUCCUUGAUGGCACUAUAGGCUGUAGCAUUAGACUCAGAGCUGCAGCUCUGUGUGCCUCAGUCUUCCUUAAAUCUAA